GUCGAUUUUCGGCCUGUUGGCUAAGAUCAGGUGUAGUAUCUGUUCUGAUCAGUUACUAUCCUAUACGUCCCCUAUUCGAGAACCAUAUAUUGAUUGGAUUUUUCAGAACGGGGUGGGCAAUUUUGAAGCUUGCUUCCGUAGCCCCAGGUGUUUGACUGAUAGGGCAGUUCUGCUAGUUCGGUGCAUCCCAC